AAUAUUGUAUUUAGUGUACACGUUGAUUAAGUAGUAAAUCAAUAAAUAGUUGCAGGAUAAUUUUCUUUAAAAAUAAAUAAUUUUGUAGAUACCACUUCCAAGGUCCCGCUUCUAUCACUGUGACGGAAGCAUUGGCGCCUUAAAAGGUGUAUCAUUCGGACCCUUCACCUCCACAAUUUUGUACUGGAAAAAUAACAUAUAUUAGAUAUUACAAUUUUUAACGUUCGAUAGAAUAUAAGGCAUUCUUAAGACCUAUGUUACAUAAGCUCUUGAAAUUGUACAUAAAAAAAAGAUUAACUUGCCUGUUUUGUAUUUGCAUUCCACACAAUUAAAUCUGGAAAGCCAGCUCUCCAGAGUGAGAAAUUAUGAAUGAGUCGUUUGCAUAUUCCAACAACACCCUCCACUCCUAAGCAAAAUGCUACUUCCUGAAAACGAAUGUAAUAUAUUUGUAAUUUAUCUUCUAUUAAAAUUUAUUGGUUCA
rnacentral:lncRNA from 13 species